rnacentral:rRNA from 1 species
UACGAAGGGGGCUAGCGUUGCUCGGAAUGACUGGGCGUAAAGGGCGCGUAGGCGGAUGGCUUUGUCGGGCGUGAAAUUCCAGGGCUUAACCUUGGGGCUGCGUUCGAGACGGGUUGUCUUGAGUGGGGAAGAGGGUCGUGGAAUUCCCAGUGUAGAGGUGAAAUUCGUAGAUAUUGGGAAGAACACCGGUGGCGAAGGCGACUUACUGGACACAUAUUGACGCUGAGGUGCGAAAGCGUGGGGAGCAAACAGG